CUCAACCACAUCGUUAAUGAGAAUGUCGAAGAAUUUCGACAUUGGAUACAAGAAGACGAUAUUGCUGUUGUAGACAGGGGAUUUAGGGACGCAGUUCAACUUUUGAAGGACCUCGGUGUCAAGACAGAAAUGCCCUCGUUCCUUGGACCCAAAAAAAAACAAUUCCAGACAAACAGCGCUAAUCACAGUCGAUUGGUCACAAAGAUUAGAUGGGUAGUAGAAUCGGCAAACGGACGGUUGAAAAACUGGAAAUAUCUUGAUCGCGUGAUACCCAAUUCUCAGAUCCCGUAUGCCGGAGAUUACACACGCAUAGUUGCGGCGAUCUGCAACAAGUACAGAU